rnacentral:tRNA from 1 species
GCCUGGCUGGCUCAGUUGGUAGAGCAUGUGACUCUUGAUCUCAGAGUUGUGAUUUCAAACCCCACUUUGGGUG